AAUAUUUCACAAUGGGGGAAACGCUGAUGCAGCGACGCCGCGUGAGUGAAGAAGUAUUUCGGUAUGUAUAGCUCUAUCAGCAGGGAAGAAAAUGACGGUACCUGACUAAGAAGCCCCGGCUAACUACGUGCCAGCAGCCGCGGUAAUACGUAGGGGGCAAGCGUUAUCCGGAUUUACUGGGUGUAAAGGGAGCGUAGGUGGCGAGUCAAGUCAGAUGUGAAAGCCCGGGGCUCAACCCCGGGAUUGCAUUUGAAACUGGUUUGCUAGAGUGCAGGAGAGGUAAGUGGAAUUCCUAGUGUAGCGGUGAAAUGCGUAGAUAUUAGGAGGAACACCAGUGGCGAAGGCGACUACCUGGACUGAUACUGACACUGAGGUGCGAAAGCGUGGGGAGCAAACA
rnacentral:rRNA from 1 species